rnacentral:rRNA from 1 species
AGCGAACGCUGGCGGCAGGCUUAACACAUGCCAGUCGAGCGGGCCCUUCGGGGUCAGCGGCAGACGGGUGAGUAACACGUGGGAACGUACCCUUUGGUUCGGAAUAACGCUGGGAAACUAGCGCUAAUACCGGAUACGCCCUUUUGGGGAAAGGCUUGCUGCCGAAGGAUCGGCCCGCGUCUGAUUAGCUAGUUGGUGGGGUAAUGGCCUACCAAGGCGACGAUCAGUAGCUGGUCUGAGAGGAUGAUCAGCCACACUGGGACUGAGACACGGCCCAGACUCCUACGGGAGGCAGCAGUGGGGAAUAUUGGACAAUGGGCGCAAGCCUGAUCCAGCCAUGCCGCGUGAGUGAUGAAGGCCUUAGGGUUGUAAAGCUCUUUUGUCCUGGACGAUAAUGACGGUACCGGAAGAAUAAGCCCCGGCUAACUUCGUG